UACGUAGGGGGCAAGCGUUGUCCGGAAUUAUUGGGCGUAAAGAGCGUGUAGGCGGUCCGGUAAGUCAGCUGUGAAAGUCAAGGGCUCAACCCUUGAAAGCCGGUUGAUACUGUCGGGCUAGAGUCCGGAAGAGGCGAGUGGAAUUCCCGGUGUAGCGGUGAAAUGCGCAGAUAUCAGGAAGAACACCCGUGGCGAAGGCGGCUCUCUGGUACGUGACUGACGCUGAGACGCGAAAGCGUGGGGAGCAAACAGG
rnacentral:rRNA from 1 species